rnacentral:lncRNA from 1 species
AUUGAAAAUCGAAGCCAGUAUUUAUUUACAGUUCACAGAUUACAGGCUAGUUCCCAGCUUGGGGAAAAUCGUUUAGUAUAUUACAAAAGCAAAAGCUCUUCAAUCAAUUAAAGUUUAAAUACAAUUAUUAUUUCAAUCUUUUGUAAAUGAUGUACACGUCUUUGCUCCCCACUUCUCCACUCCACUUCUCCACUCCACCAACUUCCCCACCACACUCAACUAUCAGCCACCACCCUUUUUCUCCACCAAAUUUUCCACUUAUUUCCUUCCCCACCACACGCAAUAAUGCAAUACUCACUCUCAGCUCAUUCACAGAGUACCAAAGAACAAUCCCAGCUUGUUCCUGUCAAGUUCUCAAGUUUCUAUCCACUGAUUCAAACACCACAGCAGCCAACAUCAAUUUACAGCAACUCACUCCUGGAGAAAUCAACUUAUUUUCAUAAGAGGUAAACCAACUCACACAUACACUCAAAAUCAGUCAUUCAUUUUAUAAAGAAAACCAUCACCGAUGACAUGUUCAUGUACAUAAUCAACACUAACUAGGACUGCACAAUUCACAGAGGAUACGCACACAUAUUAUGUCACAAAAAUCAGCACGCAUACCUUGUUCUUUUUCUGAUAAAUGAGUUCCAUAAAAUGUUCUUUCUACUACAUUUUAGAAUUAUCACAAAUUGGUUAAAGAAAAGAAAAGGGAGUAUCUAUGCAUUGUGUGUGGGCGUGAGUGUUGAGAUGAAGCUGUUGUCGCUGUUGUUGUGAGUCGGGAUGUGUGAGUUGUUGGAGGAGGCCGUCGAAGGUGGCGACCUUCGUUGCAGUCGAUCGGCGAGGAGAGGGCUGAGAUUGUGAGGCUGCUGAGCCGUGAACACAGGGAUCGGCGGCGGCUUUCGCUGCUACUCGCCGGAAUAGAAGUGGGUGAGAACAGCCGGGGGCUGCUCACGGCCGGCGACGGCUCGGCGGCAAGCCGCUGCCUUUUUCUUUUUCUGUCGAAAAUUGGGAGGAGAGGAGAGAGAUUAUUAGAGUUCAGUUUUAAAAAAAAAGAGAGAG